ACUUGAGAUUUGGGAAUUGGUUAAACUUGAGUUAUUGUGUUUGUUGAACUUGAGUUUGUGUCGUGUUUGAACGUGAGAUUGUGGUGUUUUUUAACUUGAGGUGGUUUCAUUUUUGAACUUGAGUUUGUUGCGUUUGUUGAACUUGAGUUUGUGGUGUUUGUUGAACUUGAGUUUGUGGCAUUUGUUGAACUUGAGUUUGUGUCGUGUUUGAACUUGAGUUUGUGUGUUUUUUGAACUUUGUUUUGUGUUUGAACUUGAGUUUGUGGUGUUUGUUGAACUUGAGUUUGUGUGGUGUUUGAACUUGAGUUUGUAGCGUGUUUGACCAUGAGUUUGUGGUGUUUUUGAACUUGAGUUUUUUUGUUCGUUGAACUUGAGUUUGUUUUGUGUUUAAACUUGAGAUUGUGGUGUUUUUGAACUUGAGUUAGUGUGUUUGUUGAACUUGAGUUUGUGUCGUGUUUGAACUUUAGUUUGUGGCAUUUGUUGAGCUUGAUUUUGUGUCGUGUUUGAACUUGAGUUUGUGUUUUUUGUUGAACUUGAGUUUGUGUCGUGUUUGAACUUGAGUUUGAGUGUUUUUUUAACUUGAGUUUGUGUGGUUUUUGAACUUGAGUUUGUUUCGUGUUUGAACUUGAGUUUGUGGCGUUUGUUGAAUUUGAGUUUGUGUCAUGUUUGAACUUGAGUUUGUGGUGUUUUUGAACUUGAAUUUGCUUGUUUGGUUAACUUGAGAUUUUGUGUUUUUUGAACUUAGGUUUCUGUUGUUUUUGAACUUGAGGUUGUGGAAAUUGUUAAACUUGAGAAUCAGGUGUUGGUUGAACUUGAGUUUGUGUGUUUGUUGAACUUGAGUUUGUGGUGUUUUUGAACUUGAGGUUGUUGAAAUUGUUAAACUUGAGAAUUGGGUAUUGGUUGAACUUGAGUUUGUGAAUUUGUUGAACUUGAGUUUGGUUCGUGUUUUAACUUGAGUUUGUGAUGUUUUUGAAUUUGAGUUUGUGUGUUGGUUGAACUUGAGUUUGUGUUGUGUUUGAACUUUAGUUUGUGGUGUUUUUGAACUUGAGUUUGUGUCGUGUUUGAACUUGAGGGUGUGGAAUUUGUUUAACUUGAGAAUCAGGUGUUGGAUGAACUUAAGUUAGUGUUUGUUGAACUUGAGUUUUUGUCGUGUUGGAACGUCAGUUUGUGGUGUUUGUUGAACUUGAGUUUGUUUCAUGUUUGAACUUCAGGUUGUGGAAAUUGUUAAACUUGAGAAUCAGGUGUUGGUUGAACUUGAGUUAGUGUGUUUGUUGAACUUGAGUUUUUUUGUCGUGUUUGAACUUGAGUUUGUGGUGUGUUUGACCAUGAGUUUGUGGUGUUUUUGAACUUGAGUUUUUGCGUUUGUUGAACUUGAGUUUGUUUCAUGUUUGAACUUGAGAUUGUGAUGUUUUUGAACUUGAGUUAGUGUGUUUGUUGAACUUGAGUCUGUGUUGUGUUUGAACUUUAGUUUGUGGCGUUUGUUGAGCUUGAUUUUGUGUCAUGUUUGAACUUGAGUUUGUGGUUUUUGUUGAACUUGAGUUUGUGUCGUGUUUGAACUUGAGUUUGUGGUGUUUUUUGAACUUGAGUUUGUGUGGUUUUUGAACUUGAGUUUGUUUCGUGUUUGAACUUGAGUUUGUGGCGUUUGUUGAAUUUGAGUUUGUGUCAUGUUUGAACUUGAGUUUGUGGUGUUUUUGAACUUGAAUUUGGGUGUUUGGUUAACUUGGGUUUUUGUGUUUUUUGAACUUAGGUUUCUGUUGUUUUUGAACUUGAGGUUGUGGAAAUUGUUAAACUUGAGACUCAGGUGUUGGUUGAACUUGAGUUUCUGUUGUUUUUGAACUUGAGGUUGUGGAAAUUGUUAAACUUGAGAAUUAGGUGUUGGUUGAACUUGAGUUUGUGUGUUUGUUGAACUUGAAUUUGUGAUGUUUUUGAACUUGAGGUUGUUGAAAUUGUUAAACUUGAGAAUUGGGUAUUGGUUGAACUUUAGUUUGUGAUUUUAUUGAACUUGAGUUUGUUUCGUGUUUGAACUUGAGUUUGUGGCGUUUGUUGAAUUUGAGUUUGUGUCAUGUUUGAACUUGAGUUUGUGGUGUUUUUGAACUUGAAUUUGCGUGUUUGGUUAACUUGGGUUUUUGUGUUUUUUGAACUUAGGUUUCUGUUGUUUUUGAACUUGAGGUUGUGGAAAUUGUUAAACUUGAGACUCAGGUGUUGGUUGAACUUGAGUUUGUGUGUUUGUUGAACUUGAAUUUGUGAUGUUUUUGAACUUGAGGUUGUUGAAAUUGUUAAACUUGAGAAUUGAGUAUUGGUUGAACUUUAGUUUGUGAUUUUAUUAAACUUGAGUUUGGUUCGUGUUUUAACUUGAGAUUUGGGAAUUGGUUGAACUUGAGUUAUUGUGUUUGUUGAACUUGAGUUUGUGUUGUGUUUGAACUUGAGUUUGUGGUGUUUUUGAACUUAAGGUUGUGGCAAUUUUUAAACUUGAGAUUUGGGAAUUGGUUGAACUUGAGUUAUUGUGUUUGUUGAACUUGAGUUUGUGUCGUGUUUGAACGUGAGUUUGUGGUGUUUUUUAACUUGAGGUGGUUUCAUGUUUGAACUUGAGUUUGUUGCGUUUGUUGAACUUGAGUUUGUGGUGUUUGUUGAACUUGAGUUUGUGGUUUUUGUUGAACUUGAGUUUGUGUCGUGUUUGAACUUGAGUUUGUGUGUUUUUUGAACUUUUGUUUGUUUUGUGUUUGAACUUGAGUUUGUGGUGUUUGUUGAACUUGAGUUUGUGUGGUGUUUGAACUUGAGUUUGUAGCGUGUUUGACCAUGAGUUUGUGUUUUUUUUAACUUGAGUUUUUGUGUUCGUUGAACUUGAGUUUGUUUUGUGUUUGAACUUGAGAUUGUGGUGUUUUUGAACUUGAGUUAGUGUGUUUGUUGAACUUGAGUUUGUGUCGUGUUUGAACUUUAGUUUGUGGCGUUUGUUGAGCUUGAUUUUGUGUCGUAUUUGAACUUGAGUUUGUGGUUUUUGUUGAACUUGAGUUUGUGUUGUGUUUGAACUUGAGUUUGUGUUGUGUUUGAACUUGAGUUUGUGGUGUUUUUGAACUUGAGUUUGUGUCGUGUUUGAACUUGAGGGUGUGAAAUUUGUUUAACUAGAGAAUUUGGUAUUGUUGAACUUGAGUUUGUGGUGUUUUUGAACUUGAGUUUGUGGAGAUUUUUGAACUUGAGAAUCAGGUGUUGGAUGAACUUAAGUUAGUGUUUGUUGAACUUGAGUUUUUGUCGUGUUGGAACGUGAGUUUGUGGUGUUUUUGAACUUGAGUUUGUUUCAUGUUUGAACUUGAGUUUGUGGCGUUUGUUGAACUUAAGUUUGUGGCGUUUGUUGAACUUGAGUUAGUGUGUUUGUUGAACUUGAGUUUUUUUGUCGUGUUUGAACUUGAGUUCGUAGUGUGUUUGACCAUGAGUUUGUAGUGUUUUUGAACUUGAGUUUUUGUGUUCGUUGAACUUGAGUUUGUUUCGUGUUUGAUCUUGAGAUUGUGGUGUUUUUGAACUUGAGUUAGUGUGUUUGUUGAACUUGAGUUUGUGUCGUGUUUGAACUUUAGUUUGUGGCGUUUGUUGAGCUUGAUUUUGUGUCGUGUUUGAACUUGAGUUUGUGGCUUUUGUUGAACUUGAGUUUGUGUGUUUUUUGAACUUGAGUUUGUAUGGUUUUUGAACUUGAGUUUGUU
rnacentral:lncRNA from 1 species